rnacentral:rRNA from 1 species
AAUGAACGCUGGCGGCGCGCCUAAUACAUGCAAGUCGAGCGAGAAGACGUAGCAAUACGUUUGUAAAGCGGCGAACGGGUGAGGAAUACAUGGGUAACCUACCCUCGAGUGGGGAAUAACUAGCCGAAAGGUUAGCUAAUACCGCGUACGCUUCUUGGACUUCGGUUCAGGGAGGAAAGCGAUACCGUGGGUAUCGCGCUCUUGGAUGGGCUCAUGUCCUAUCAGCUUGUUGGGAGGUAACGGCUCACCAAGGCUUCGACGGGUAGCUGGUCUGAGAGGACGAUCAGCCACACUGGCACUGCGACACGGGCCAGACUCCUACGGGAGGCAGCAGUAAGGAAUAUUGCGCAAUGGGCAAAGCCUGACGCAGCGACGCCGCGUGGGGGAUGAAGGUCUUCGGAUUGUAAACCCC